GAUGGAAUCACAACAUACACACCUAUCUCACUUUUCAAGUGUGAAUUUAGAGUGGACAAGUAUUUCUAUAAAGUAAACUGGAGUAUAGAUGGAAGAGAAAUCCAGACUUUCGUGCGGAAUACAUCCGUUUGGACACGUUUCGAAGUUUCAGAAUUAAAAUUGAUUGAGGAAAACAUUUCGAUGCCAUUUGAGGCUGUGAAUCGCAAACAACGAGUGAAUCCUGGCGUGCAAUAUUAAUUGGCGGUAUUACAGUCGGAUCAAUAACAGCAGCACUUAUGUUCGUA